GUGUGCCAUUGUAACACUCCUGCGCAGCUCCUACUUAGAAACAGUCGUCAUGAAUCUCAGAAGAGAAGAGGAAGAAAUUAUGUUCAGGAUUGAAAUAGCCAUUACCUCACUAUCACGUGGUCUUGUUGGUUACAACGUGUGAUGUGACGUAGUGGAAGUUUCGAUUCGAACCUACUGCCUUGUAUAAGUUAUUUUCGGCGAGAUUUUUGAGUGUAUAUUUGUGUAUUAUUUUGUUUUUUCUAAGCGACUAUUCUUGCGAUAUCAAAUGCUGUGAUUACUUUGCGAAAUAAUAUGUAUUAAAAAAUUAGAAAUCUUUAUCUAUAUAACCUCAAAUAUGAAACAAAUUGUAAACUAUGUAAUUUUUUGAAAUAAAAGCAUUGUUUUCGCUGUGAUUUCAUUUAUGUAUAUAUAAGCAAAUGAAAUUAUCAACAAGAAGUUUUAUGUUUCGCUAUUCUGCAAACUUCGGUUUGCUAAGUUGUAGAAAUCGAAUAUCAUCAACCUUUUCAUUGUUACAAUGUUGACAAUUUGCGUCCAAUGUUGUAGAAUGUACUUACUCAUUGUCAAAUAAUGCUAAGCGUAUAAUGCAGUUCUCGUAGGCAAGCCUUAUUACAUAUAUACAAGACGGGCUGUUAUAUGCAUUUAAAUUAUCUACGACUGUGAAAGAAGGAAUGGAAAACGGACAUUAAAAAAAAUUAAUCGCCACUAAUUCAAUUGUAUUUAUUUCUGGUUAGUAAUGUUUGUAUAUGACUAUGUGAAAAAGGGUUCUCUCUGACCGUUUUAAGGUAAAAAUAUUUUAAUAAUCACGUUCAUCAGAUUUGACUAAGCAUUUAAAAGUAGGGAGUUAGAAAUAGAUUGCUUAAUAAGUAAAGGUUGAUAUAUUUUGUAUGGCCGAACAUUGGCUCUUCCGAUUUUGUUAUUUUUUUUUAACCCUUACUAGCUAGUAGCUAUACGGCCUCUACUGUAACUAGUAUAAUUUAUAAACUUUAAUUAACUAGUUUUUAGUAAUUAACUAAUAAUGAGAUGAGAAUAUACACCGGCAAAAAUUCAGUGUAAUAAAAUAACGCUGCUUUAGAGGUAGAGGUUUUUCAAAGUAGCGGGACAACUAUAUAUAUAUUAUAUAUUUAGUUAUCUUAUAGUAUAGUUGGUUUUGUUAUAACAAGAACCUGUAGCUAAUUAGGUGAUCGUUAUCUAAUUGAAAUAUCACGAGUGGUAGAAUGUAGUUAAAUUAUUUAGUUUGCAAUUGAGUACAAUUGCCAACGCUAAUCCGACAUAUCUAAACUAGUCAUUGAAUAAAGCAGUUUAAUUAAAAGUU